AGACCGAUAGCGAACAAGUACCGUGAGGGAAAGAUGAAAAGCACUUUGGAAAGAGAGUUAAACAGUACGUGAAAUUGUUGAAAGGGAAACGCUUGAAGUCAGUCGCGUUGGCCGGGACUCAGCCUUGCAUCAGCUUGGUGUACUUUCCGGUCGACGGGCCAGCAUCAGUUUUGACCGCGGGAUAAAGGUGAAGGGAAUGUGGCUCUUUCGGGAGUGUUAUAGCCCUUUGUCGGAUGCCGUGGUUGGGACUGAGGAACUCAGCACGCCUUUAUGGCCGGGGUUCGCCCACGUACGUGCUUAGGAUGCUGGCGUAAUGGCUUUAAACGACCCGUCUUGAAACACGGACCAAG
rnacentral:rRNA from 1 species